UACCAGCUCUCCGAGUGGUAGGGAUGAUUAUUGGGCUUAAAGCGUCCGUAGCCGGCUUAGCAAGUUUCCUGUUAAACUCAGCGACUCAAUCGUUGGAUCGCGGGAAAUACUACUAGGCUAGGAGGCGGGAGAGGUCAACGGUACUUCUGGGGUAGGGGUGAAAUCCUAUAAUCCCGGGAGGACCACCAGUGGCGAAGGCUGUUGACUAGAACGCGCUCGACGGUGAGGGACGAAAGCUGGGGGAGCGAACCGGAUUAGAUACCCGGGUAGUCCCAGCUGUAAACGAUGCGAGCUAGGUGUUGGAAUGGCUACGGGCCAUUUCAGUGCCGCAGGGAAGCCAGUAAGCUCGCCGCCUGGGGAGUACGGCCGCAAGGCUGAAACUUAAAGGAAUUGGCGGGGGAGCGCCACAAGGCGUGAAGCUUGCGGUUC
rnacentral:rRNA from 1 species